GCACCUCAGAGACAGAGCUACCAUGACCAUGAGGGUCACUUGUCCAAGGUGAGGCUCAUUCAGCGCACUCUGCCGGCCCUGACUCUGGCAGUCUGCAAAUGUGGAAAACUUCACUGCAUAAUUUGUGGUAGUGGGGGGCGGUGUUUAUUCAGCCUCCCC